rnacentral:rRNA from 1 species
UACAGAGGGUGCGAGCGUUAAUCGGAAUUACUGGGCGUAAAGCGCGCGUAGGCGGCUUUUCAAGUCGAUUGUGAAAUCCCCGGGCUUAACCUGGGAACUGCAGUCGAGACUGUCUAGCUAGAGUAUGGGAGAGGGAAGUGGAAUUUCAGGUGUAGCGGUGAAAUGCGUAGAUAUCUGAAGGAACAUCAGUGGCGAAAGCGAUUUCCUGGACCAAUACUGACGCUCAUGUGCGAAAGCGUGGGGAGCAAACAGG